rnacentral:rRNA from 1 species
AUUGAACGCUGGCGGCAGGCCUAACACAUGCAAGUCGAACGAGUGGCGGACGGGUGAGUAAUGUCUGGGAAACUGCCCGAUGGAGGGGGAUAACUACUGGAAACGGUAGCUAAUACCGCAUACUAUCGGAUGUGCCCAGAUGGGAUUAGCUAGUAGGUGGGGUAAUGGCUCACCUAGGCGACGAUCCCUAGCUGGUCUGAGAGGAUGACCAGCCACACUGGAACAGCGACACGGUCCAGACUCCUACGGGAGGCAGCAGUGGGGAAGAUUGCACAGUGGGCGGAAGCAUGGUGCAGCCAGGCCGCGUGUAGGGAGAAGGCCUUCGGGUUGUAAAGUACUUUCAGCGGGGAGGCGUUACCCGCAGAAGAAGCACCGGCUAACUCCGUGCCAGCAGCCGCGGUAAUAC